rnacentral:rRNA from 1 species
CGGAACACGUACGCAAUCUACCCAAAACUGAUGAAUAGCCCUCCGAAAGGAGGAUUAAUACACCGUAAUAUAUAGAGGUGGCAUCAUUUUUAUAUUAAAGGUCGCAAGAUCGGUUUUGGAUGGGCGUGCGCCUGAUUAGGUAGUUGGUGCGGGUAAUGGCCCACCAAGCCUUCGAUCAGUAACUGGUGUGAGAGCACGACCAGUCACACGGGCACUGAGACACGGGCCCG